GGAUGGAUCAUUAUUGGUCUAUUUUGAUAUUUGUGGGACACUAUUUGUUUUAAAACUACUAACGGUUUUUUCUAAAAUUAUACACUCCCACCGCUGGAUCUCUUGGCUCUCGCAGCGAAGAAGAACGCAGCAAAAGGCGAUACGUAAAGUGGCGCGCAGACACGACACUUUAAUGUUUGAACGCACAUUGCGCCCCUUACAGGGCGUGAUUAGUUGAGGGCGGGCGCAGUGGCUUCGCCGAUUUGGGUUCUGCUUGUAUGCAACCUGAAACAAAGUUCCGCGAUUAAAAUGCGUCGGAGCGCCGCCUCAGCUAAUCAGGACUACCCGCCGGACUUAAGCAUAUUAAUAGGCGGAGGAAAAGAAACUAACAAGGAUUCCCCCAGUAAUGGCGAACGAAGCGGGAAUAGCCCAGGCCGAAAUCUGCGGAGAUGUGGCUUGUGGGCGCGUGGUGCAGCUAAUCCAAGUCCCUUGGAAAAGGGCGCCUUAGAGGGUGAGAGCCCCGUGGAUGGCAUUAAUGCAGGGCGCGUUCCGGGAGUCGCGUUGCUUGGGAGUGCAGCGCGAAUGGUGGUAUGCUCCAUCGAAGGCUAAAUAAUGGCGAGAGGCCGAUAGCGAACAAGUACCGUGAGGGAAAGAUGAAAAGGACUCUGAAGAGAGAGUCAAAAGGGCGUGAAAACGGUGGGAGGGAAGCGCUAUACUCCGGGGGCCGGCAGCGAUGGCGGCAACAGCGGGCGCAAGUGCGGCGGCUGAGCGGGGUAUAGCGGCCCGUCUUGAAACACGGACCAAGGAGUCCAGCAGUGGCGCGAGUGCGUGGGUAUCUAAAACCCGGGCGCGGAGCGAAAGCGAGAGAUGGGACCUCAUUUACGAGGGCACCAUCAGCGGCCGUUUUCCUUCGGGAUGGCGGUCGCAAGCGCGGAUGCUGGGACCCGAAAGACGGUGAACUAUGCCUGGAGAGGGUGAAGGCAGAGGAAACUCUGGCGGAGGCCCGCAGCGGUACUGACGUGCAAAUCGUUCGUCGCAUCUGGGUAUAGGGGCGAAAGACUAAUCGAACCGUCUGGUAGCUGGUUCCCUC
rnacentral:misc_RNA from 1 species